rnacentral:lncRNA from 7 species
AAAUAGCCUACACAGCAGUUGAAGUUCCUUCAGCAUCACUGACAGCACCUCACGUUGCAUGGAUAAUGCAAGAUCUAUUUUUUUUUUCCAGUGGAUGUGACAUUGCUAGAAAGAAAGAUUGCCUUACAUGACAGUGUCUGAAGUGCUCAACUAUGGAACAUCUCUGCAUGAACAUCAGAGGAACAGUCCCCUCAUUUCAGCUGCAGUCUGACAGCUUUGAGGACAGGGUUGGGGUUUCUCUCUUAUCUGCUGUUUUCUGCAGCGUGUAUCCAAACAGCAGGGAAGGUUGAUCAUAAAUGGGAAUCAAUCCCAAAAUAUUCCCCAUGCCUGAAGUGCAAGGCCAUGUACAGAGAGAUGAAUGUGGAGCCCUCGGAUACUCUUUGGAGUCUACAAACUGGAAUCUGAUUCCUACUGCAUUGGAAACCCUUACCCCUAUCCUGGAUGGGAAGGGAGUGGGAUUAUAUUACAUUUCAGUGCCCUGAACCAGAGAAGCCCUAAGAGUCUGUAAACACAACCUCUGCUCAUCCCUCCAUCUUGGAAACACUCAUCUGCUGUCAACGCCGGUCUUCUGUCAACCAUCACUGCUUCUCUAGGCUUCCAGUGUUUCUUUUCUACCAGCCCUUCAUCCCAAAGAGGGUCAAAACUUACAGACUGGGGAACACAGAUUCCACGUGUUAAUUAUGCUUUGGGGUGGGGACCGUUGUCGUGUUGAUUCAAUACAGUAGCUGGAGGAAGAAAGCCCUGCUCUGCAGUGAGACCUUCCAGUAUUACCCUCCUACUUGCAAUGUGAGUGGAUGAAACUUGCCCAAGCAGACAUGUUUUGGGGUGCACCUUGGCACUGCCAUCCAGCAGUUGUCCAGGGACAGGCUGGCUGUAACUCAAAGACCGUCUGCUUUGAUUUGAACUGCUGACAUGGGUGUUUUUCUUUGCCUCAUUCUGGACCUGGUCAUAAAACCCUCUCUUAGUUUUUCUCCUUUCCUUAAAUAGGAGUUCUGUCCCUCGCAAGGAAUUGCUGCGAUUCCAGGGUUUGCCCUCAUCUCCUGACCUUGG